UACGUAGGGUGCGAGCGUUGUCCGGAAUUAUUGGGCGUAAAGAGCUCGUAGGCGGUUUGUCACGUCUGCUGUGAAAUCCCCAGGCUCAACCUGGGAACUGCGUCUGAUACUGGAUGGCUUGAAUCCGGGAGAGGGAUGCAGAAUUCCAGGUGUAGCGGUGAAAUGCGUAGAUAUCUGGAGGAAUACCGGUGGCGAAGGCGGCAUCCUGGACCGGCAUUGACGCUGAGGAGCGAAAGCCAGGGGAGCAAACGGG
rnacentral:rRNA from 1 species